UGGUGCGAAUUCUCUUUGACUAGGGAUCCAAAGAGGGUGCUAGACCCUUACGCAUUGUUGACUUUUCGUACGCGUUCGUUUCUUGGAGUAGGGUUGUUUUGGAUCGCAGCCCAAAGUAGGUGGUAUACUUCAUCUAAAGCUAAAUACGACUACGAAUCCGAUAGCAAACAAGUACCGUGAGGGAAAGUUGCAAAGUACUUUGAAGAGAGAGUUCAAGAGGACGUGAAACCGGUAGGAUGGAAGCAGAUAAAGUUGACGAACGUGUGUCGUAUUCAGAACUACAAUUUGUGGUUUGUUUUUACGAUCGAUGUGGGCUGGCGUCUUUGGUUAACUUAGUGUCUGGCGGCAAUGGUGACCCUGCGGAGGGAUAAUCGGUUGUCGUGCGAUGCUUGGUAUGGCUAGAGGUCGCUGGUCUUAUAGUCAUCGCUUUAUCUGACCCGUCUUGAAACACGGACCAAGGAGUGUAGCGCUUACGCGAGUCUUAGAGUGUGUCAAAACUUUGAGGCGUAACGAAAGUAAAUGUGGAUUUAUUCACUGACUUGGGAUGCGUUGUCUUUUUUGGAUAGCGUUGGACCAUGGUUUUAUCGUAAUCGCUUGCGAUGCG
rnacentral:rRNA from 1 species